rnacentral:rRNA from 1 species
AAUAGAUACCCAGGUAGUCCAUGCCGUAAACGUUGGGCACUAGGUGUGGGGGACAUUCCACGUUUUCCGCGCCGUAGCUAACGCAUUAAGUGCCCCGCCUGGGGAGUACGGCCGCAAGGCUAAAACUCAAAGGAAUUGACGGGGGCCCGCACAAGCGGCGGAGCAUGCGGAUUAAUUCGAUGCAACGCGAAGAACCUUACCAAGGCUUGACAUGAACCAGACCGGGCUGGAAACAGUUCUUCCCCUUUGGGGUUGGUUUACAGGUGGUGCAUGGUUGUCGUCAGCUCGUGUCGUGAGAUGUUGGGUUAAGUCCCGCAACGAGCGCAACCCUCGUUCCAUGUUGCCAGCGGGUAGUGCCGGGGACUCAUGGGAGACUGCCGGGGUCAACUCGGAGGAAGGUGGGGACGACGUCAAAUCAUCAUGCCCCUUAUGUCUUGGGCUUCACGCAUGCUACAAUGGCCGGUACAAAGGGUUGCGAUACUGUGAGGUGGAGCUAAUCCCAAAAAGCCGGUCUCAGUUCGGAUUGGGGUCUGCAACUCGACCCCAUGAAGUCGG